rnacentral:rRNA from 1 species
UCUGGCGGCAUUAGCGCGGUGGUCCCACCUGACCCCAUGCCGAACUCAGAAGUGAAACGCCGUAGCGCCGAUGGUAGUGUGGGGUCUCCCCAUGCGAGAGUAGGGAACUGCCAGAC